rnacentral:rRNA from 1 species
GCAGGCCUAACACAUGCAAGUCGACGGGUAACGAUUAUGCUUGCACCAGUCGACGACCGGCGCACGGGUGAGUAACGCGUAUGCAAUCUACCUUUAAGUGGAGGAUAGGGCGAAGAAAUUCGGAUUAAUACUCCAUAGAAUUACAAUAUCGCCUGAUAUUGUACUUAAAGCAUUAGCGGUUAAAGAUGAGCAUGCGUGCCAUUAGUUAGUUGGUGAGGUAACGGCUCACCAAUGCAUCGAUGGCUAGGGGUUCUGAGAGGAUGAUCCCCCACACUGGUACUGAGACACGGACCAGACUCCGUGCGGGAGGCAGCAGUGAGGAAUAUUGGUCAAUGGGCGCAAGCCUGAACCAGUCAUGCCGCGUGCAGGAAGACUGCCCUAUGGGUUGUAAACUGCUUUUCUACAGGAAGAAACUUUGCGACGAGUCGUGAAUUGCCGGUACUGUAGGAAUAAGCAUCGGCUAACUCCGUGCCAGCAGCCGCGGUAAUACGGAGGAUGCAAGCGUUAUCCGGAUUCAUUGGGUUUAAAGGGUGCGUAGGCGGAAUAGUAAGUCAGUGGUGAAAGGCUGCAGCUUAACUGUAGAAUUGCCUUUGAUACUGUUAUUCUUGAGUGUAGUUGAGGUAGGCGGAAUGUGUAAUGUAGCGGUGAAAUGCUUAGAUAUUACACAGAACACCGAUUGCGUAGGCAGCUUACUAAACUAUAACUGACGCUGAGGCACGAGAGCGUGGGGAGCGAACAGGAUUAGAUACCCUGGUAGUCCACGCUGUAGACGAUGAUCGCUCGUUGUUGGGCAUAAAUCGUCAGGGACUGAGCGAAAGCAUUAAGUGAUCCAACUGGGGAGUACGUUGGCGACGAUGAAACUCAAAGGAAUUGACGGGGGCCCGCACAAUCGGUGGAACAUGUGGUUUAAUUCGAUGAUACGCGAGGAACCUUACCUGGGCUUAAAUGUAGACUGCAUGUGGUGGAAACAUCACUUUCCUUCGGGACCGUCUACAAGGUGCUGCAUGGUUGUCGUCAGCUCGUGCCGUGAGGUGUCGGGUUAAGUCCCAUAACGAGCGCAACCCCUAUUGUUAGUUGCUAACAGGUAAUGCUGAGGACUCUAGCGAAACUGCCGGUGUAAACCGAGAGGAAGGUGGGGAUGACGUCAAAUCAGCACGGCCCUUAUGUCCAGGGCUACACACGUGUUACAAUGGUUGGUACAGAGGGCAGCUACCGGGCGACCGGAUGCUAAUCUCGAAAGCCAAUCUUAGUUCGGAUCGGAGUCUGCAACUCGACUUCGUGAAGCUGGAAUCGCUAGUAAUCGCGCAUCACCCACGGCGCGGUGAUACGUUCCCGGGCCUGCACACACCGCCCGUCAAGCC